rnacentral:rRNA from 1 species
UAUUGGGCAAUGGGGGGAACCCUGACCCAGCGACGCCGCGUGAGGGAAGACGGCCUUCGGGUUGUAAACCUCUUUUGUACGGGAAGAAGGACGUGACGGUACCGUGCGAAUAAGUCCCGGCUAACUACGUGCCAGCAGCCGCGGUAAUACGUAGGGGACGAGCGUCGUCCGGAAUUACUGGGCGUAAAGGGCGCGCAGGCUGUAGAUCAAGUCAGCUGUGAAAUGUCUGGGCUUAACCCGGGCAUGCGGUUGAAACUGAUGUACUGGAGUGCUGUAGAGGCAAGUGGAAUUCCCAGUGUAGCGGUGAAAUGCGUAGAUAGUGGGAAGAACACCGGUGGCGAAGGCGACUUGCUGGGCAGCAACUGACGCUGAGGCGCGAAAGCCAGGGGAGCAAACGGG